UGGUUUGUGUCACGUAUACCAUAGAAUUUCAGUGCUAGCAGUGAAUAUCGGAACGCAGCCUCUAUUGUAGACGAUCCUAACUUGAACGACAGCGAUUACGACCUCUCAAGCGACUACCGCCACGACUCUACGACCAUAUUUUAUGAUUCUACGACCCCAUUGUAGACGAGGCAUUCCAAUCCAAUUUCAGCGACUAUUGUAACGACUUAAGCUACAAUAGACCAAUCAGAGGAAAGAUUUUAUAUAUCACGCUAUGUAAACAACGUGGGAAAAUGAUAUCGAUGGCGAGAAUAUUGAUCCAGCAAAUAAGCAUAACCUCAAAGUGCCUAAAACAUAUAUCAGAAAAAGAAAGAAUAUAAGUCUUGAUGUGAAUUCUCUAAUUAUGGAAUCAUCACAGGCUGUUACUGCAGCCUGUUCAGCUUUGCCAGCAUUGCUGAACAGUACAACUUCUACGCCAGAUACAGAAGAAGAGAAAAGUAUGGUGACAGUCUUAUUACAUGGAAUAAAACGUGUACCUAUGCAACAAAGAAUAAAAUGUUUUAUCAAACU